AACGAACGCUGGCGGCAUGCCUAACACAUGCAAGUCGAACGAUUGCCUUCGGGUGACUGUGGCGCACGGGUGCGUAACGCGUGGGAAUCUGCCCUUAGGUUCGGAAUAACAGCUGGAAACGGCUGCUAAUACCGGAUGAUAUCGCGAGAUCAAAGAUUUAUCGCCUGAGGAUGCGCCCGAGCUGGAUUAGGUAGGUGGUGGGGUAAAGGCGUACCAAGCGGACGAUCCAUAGCUGGACUGAGAGGAUGAGCAGCCACACUGGGACUGGGACACGGCCCAGAAUACUACGGGAGGCAGGAGUGGGGGAUAUUGGAAAACGGGCGCAAGGAUGAACGAGCAAUGCCGGGUGAGUGAUGAAGGCCCGAGGGUUGUAAAGCUCGUUUACCCGGGAAGAUAAUGACGGUACCGGGAGAAUAAGCCCCGGCUAACUCCGUG
rnacentral:rRNA from 1 species